UACGUAGGGUGCUAGCGUUGGUCGGAAUCAUUGGGCGUAAAGCGCGUGUAGGUGGCUGUGUAAGUCGAAUGUGAAAUCCCUGGGCUCAACCGAGGAAGUGCAUUCGAAACUACAUAGCUCGAGGACGGUAGAGGAAGGUGGAAUUCCAAAAGUAGAGGUGAAAUUCGUAGAUAUUUGGAGGAAUACCGGCGGCGAAGGCGGCCUUCUGGGCCGUUCCUGACACUGAGACGCGAAAGCGUGGGUAGCAAACAGG
rnacentral:rRNA from 1 species